CGGGACAACUGGCUUGUGGCUGCUAGAGAUCAAUCAACGCAGCUUUUGAUCUCGAUGUCGGCUCUUCCUAUCCUAGUGAUGUACAAGUUGCUAAGGGUCGGAUUGUUCACCCGUAUUAGGGAUCGUGAGCUGGGUUUAGACCGUCGUGAGCCAGGUUUGUUUUAUCUACUGGAUAUAGCAUCAUGAUAGUAGAUUGAUUUAGUACGAGAGGAACUGUUGAUUAUGGCCUCUGGUUAGCGAUUAUCGGAAACGGUAUGUCGCGCAGCUACGCCGUCUGGGAUAAUGGCUGAAAGCCUCUUAAGCCAGAAGCCCAUCUAGAAAGUGAUGCACGUGAUGUUGGACCGAUACGAAUAAUCAUACUCAAAAGGUCCGCUUCAUAGGUAACCCAAUGUAGAAGACAUUGUGUGAACGAAGGUACUGUAAGCAGUGGAGUGGCAUUACGUCCACGACCUGUUGAGGUUCAGCUUCGCUUCUAGGUUUCC
rnacentral:ncRNA from 1 species